rnacentral:rRNA from 1 species
CCUACGGGGGGCAGCAGUCGAGAAUCAUUCACAAUGGGGGAAACCCUGAUGCAGCGACGCCGCGUGGGUGAAGAAGCGCCUCGGCGCGUAAAGCCCUGUCAGCAGGGAAGAAAAUGACGGUACCUGAAGAAGAAGCCCCGGCUAACUACGUGCCAGCAGCCGCGGUAAUACGUAGGGGGCAAGCGUUAUCCGGAUUUACUGGGUGGAAAGGGGGCGCAGACGGCGAUGCAAGCCAGGAGUGAAAGCCCGGGGCCCAACCCCGGGACUGCUCUUGGAACUGCGUGGCUGGAGUGCAGGAGGGGCAGGCGGAAUUCCUGGUGUAGCGGUGAAAUGCGUAGAUAUCAGGAGGAACACCGGUGGCGAAGGCGGCCUGCUGGACUGCAACUGACGUUGAGGCCCGAAAGCGUGGGGAGCAAACAGGAUUAGAUACCCUGGUAGUC